GAUCCUGGCUCAGGACGAACGCUGGCGGCGUGCCUAACACAUGCAAGUCGAGCGGAGACAGUGAGUAGCUUGCUAUGAGCCGUUUUAGCGGCGGACGGGUGAGUAACGCGUGAGCAACCUUUCCCAGACAGGGGAAUAACACACCGAAAGGUGUACUAAUACCGCAUAAGACCACGGGAUCGACAUGGUUCUGAGGUAAAAGAUUUAUCGGUUUGGGGUGUGCUCGCGUCCGAUUAGGUAGUUGGUGAAGGG
rnacentral:rRNA from 1 species